GCCAAGUGCCACAGCCAUGGCUGACGUGGUCUUUAUGUGUCUGCUGACCCCAAAAUCACUAUUUCUGCAGGUGCAUUUCACUCUGGUGGCAUUUGGAUCAGGGCUGGAUGGACCGAAGGAAUGAACACACAGCUUUCCCCUGAUUAAUGCAUCUGAAUAAUUGGUGUAUGAAAGAUGAGUCUUUCCUCUUGCUUUCCCCACUGUCCUCUGUUUGAAGGAGAGCGGAGACGUACGUUGAGUUCUUUUCCCUUUGGAGAUGCUUGAACUGAUGGAGAUACAAAUUAGGCUAUUGCAGCACACACAUUUCAAAUGAGGGAGGCCUAUUCUGAUGGAAACAUCUGGUUUCAUUACACCAGGGCAGUCACCAGAGUCUGUAGUUUGUCCCUGGAUGACAGAGGUGUCUCUCACACACACCUGAGCACUUCCCCUGCGCGGUGCCGUGUUUGCAGCUGCGGGAUCGGAUUCUCGCUGUAGGAACCGCGGAGACAUCGGCGAAUUCAGCAGAGUUCUGCGGAUUUACACCUCCCUGGAGCCCUGGUUGAUGUAAUCCCAGCUUGGUCAGUGCGGGCUCCCUUUGCCUGUGUGUCCCGGUUAUCACAGGCUGGGACGAAGCCACAGGGAGCUUGACCUGUGCUUGUUUAUUUCCAACGUGCCCACAACUGCAACAAAACCCCGCUGCUCCGAAUGCGCUGUUCCGGCUCCUCUGUGUGCAUGAGGCUCGGAGACUGAAGCUGGUUAAUUGUGGCAAAUGUGGUUUUCUGGGACAUCUAAGGGUUAUGUCACUUUUCUAAAAAUCUCUUUGAUCUUGAAUCAAAAGAAGUGGGUGGGUUUUUAACGUCGUCUUAACUGUGUGGCUUUUACAAAUUAAAAACCUACUGGAAAUUGGUUAUACAAUAUACGCUUGUGUUUCUCUAAGACUGAUGAGACCACCUUUGACUCUAAGCUGCUUUUUCUAGCAGAUCAUCAGGGAAAUUCUGGUAACAAACAGUUGGGAAAAGCUAGAGGGAGCUUUUGAAAUAAGAACUGUGCUUUUCUCCGUAUUUUGCAAGCCAAGGCUUUAAUUUACAAUAAGCACAAUAAGGGCAGAAAUAAAGCAGUUAGUGUGCUGUCUCA
rnacentral:lncRNA from 1 species